CGUGCGCACGCGCCGAAUCCCGCAAGGGAACCGGGGAACCACCUUUUGGGGUGAAUCGGGCUCCUCCCUGUUUGAAGAGGGCCCGUAGGAGACCUUCCUGCUCCGAACCCGUCAGCUAACCCGGUAGGCGAGAGGAAGGAAAGG
rnacentral:sRNA from 2 species